GCCUGGGUGGCUCAGUCGGUUGAGUGUCCGACUUUGGCUCAGGUCAUGAUCUCAUGGUUUGUGGGUUCGAGCCCCGCUUUGGGCU
rnacentral:tRNA from 1 species